UUGCCUAGAGGGAGAAGCUGUACAGGCUAAUGAUUCGUACGUAUCAAGUCGACAUAAGCGUAUGGCUUUUCCCCUAGGAGA
rnacentral:pre_miRNA from 1 species